UAAACAUUCUGAGCCCCUCCCCCAUGAUGUAGCUCUGGGGUCCAGCCACAGGGUGGCAGGAGAGCCAGGAUUUCCCAUCUUUCCUCUGCCAAGCCUACAGUUGUGGCUGUUUGUCAACUCACCAAAAAACUAACGAGCACAAACCCUGGUCUGAUCCAGGAGUAGACUCGACGUUUAUACAAAGAGGGUGUCCUCUGGCUCCUCUCCACAGAGACCAAGCAUUUCACCAGCUGCAUCGGGUGCAGCCUGCGUCUCCCAGUCAAGCGCCUGUGGGAGGAAGAUCUGGCUGCCGCCUGUGGGCAGCCGCUCGGAGCAUCUGCCGUCGUCCCCGCAAACAAGAGAGCAAACUUGAGAGACGAUACUUUAAAAACUUUGUAUUCAAUUAUUCACACCAAAGAAUAUCCAUUAAAAUUAUGAACAUUU